rnacentral:misc_RNA from 1 species
UGGCCACUUUCUCGGGGGAAGAUGCCCAUACCUUGAGUGAAGCCAAGGAAGAAGCUGUUCAUGCAAUUGUUGAAUUUGUGAAGUCCCCCAACAUGUUUAAGUGUGAUUUGUUAGACAUGCCUGCGGUGGGGCAACUGGAGAAGGAUGCCAAAUAUUCACUGGUUUAUCAGCUUCUGAAGAUUUUUCUGACUCAGAGACUGGAUGCUUACUUGGAAUUUCAAGCUGCAAAUUCUACUUUAUUGAAAAGCUAUGGUCUCGUGCAUGAAGAUUGUAUCACAAAAAUGAGGUUAUUGUCAUUGGUGGAUCUUGGCUCAAAUGAAUCUGCUCGCAUUCCAUAUGCUCUCAUUAAGGACACACUUAGGAUCAAUGAUGAUGAGGUGGAACUGUGGGUCGUGAAGGCCAUUACUUCCAAAUUGAUUGACUGCAAAAUGGACCAGAUGAAUGAAGUUGUGAUUGUGAGCCGCUGUACUGACCGUGUAUUUGGGCAGCAUCAGUGGGAAACACUUAGGACAAAGCUAGCUACAUGGAGGGGGAAUAUUGCGAAUGUCAUUGGCACCAUUCGAGCAAACAAAAUAGUUGAGGAUGGAUCACAGGCUAUGCAAGGUUUGGCAAUUCGUUGAAGAGUGGAUUUUUGUUGAUCUGUAAGUUAAGUCUCACCUACCUUUCUGGAUAAAUUCUAGGAUGUCUCAUGUUCUACUCAAUCCUCUAAAUUUGUUCAAAUUUUGACGUGGGGAACUACAUUCGAAUUCGAGUAGUUGGUUUAUAUUAAUGGAUUGUUGUAUCAUCGUCUACACUCCUAGGCCUUUCAAUCGGCUCUUUGAUCUUA